GGAGGCGGCACCUGGUUGUGGAGGGUGUCGCGAUGGGAGGGGCGGAACCCCUGUGUUUCCCUGGGAGACUUGGAUCCCCGGCAGUUUUGCAGAAUACUGCUAUCUAUGGACUCUAAAAUGAACUUCAUUUAAAGAAACCCACGGACCAUUAAUGGACAAAAUCAUGAAUCAUUAUGUAUUAUGGCAUUCAAAUCCUAGCACUUUGGGAGAGCAUCAAGUACCAAGUUUUUGAAGACCUUGGCCUACUACCAUCAUUAUCCAUUCAAGAUUUCAGUUUGAAUAACCUCAUCCAGACUUAGAUCUUCUUCAAAAGCUUCAAGUCUCAUCUGCAUUAAAGCUCUCCAUUGAACUCCCUUGCAAAAGUGAAAGCUUAAAGAGACUAACAUCCAUUAAUACAUUCCAUUUUAUAUCUCUUCUUCUGUUCUCUUCAAUUUCCUUGACCACCAGAGUCUUUCAUAUUCUUAUGUUCCUUUAGACCAGAGCCAAAGAAACAGUGCUUUCCAAAAAAUAUAUGUUCUGUGGCCAUCAGAACAUUGGUAGAGAAGCAUAAAUUUGGCAUGAUAGAUUUAGAAUUAGGUCUUCUAUUAUAUUCUAUAAAAAGUUGAAUUAACAAUAAGAAAAUGAGGAAGUAGUAAAAAUAUUUGAGGUUAGAUUAUACUCCCAGAAGCCAUGUGGUUAAGAGAAAAGAGCCCUCAACCUAACAUUUGAUGCCUCUUACUCUGUAUGCCUCUUACUAGGUGAUGACUGACUGACUAGGUGAUGACUGGGAAAGUCACCUAACCUCUCUGAACCUUAACUUCAUUAUCUAUAAAGUGAAGCUGAUAAUAUUUUCCCCACCUACCUCACAGGGUUGUUGUGAGGAUCAAAGGAAAUAAUGUACAUAAAAAAGACUUAUAUAAAAUGUAUAAUACAGACAUAGGAUCCUGUUGCAUAGUUACAAGUCAUUCCCUCAGCUCUUGGGCCCGGGAGGGUAGGUGAUUUAAGUAUACUGAAAGUGUGUACCAUGUUAAAGCUGGAUACAUGGUAACAAGACUAUGUUAAUUUUUUUUUCUCUAAGUACAUGGAAUACUACCAUGGGCUAAUUCUAAAAAGGAGCAAGACUAUAAGUUUCCCUAAAAUUAUCAAUUAGCAUUGAUAAUGCUCUAAGAAAGUAGUUACGGUUAUAACAUACUAGUAGUUUGCAAAAUUGAUUUACUAAGUUGUGACCAGCAUUUUUUUAAAAUAAAAGAACACAGAGCAGAAUAUUUCACAAUGUAUCCCAGAUGUUAAGAGUAAAUAUGGUUUUAGCUAUACAUAUGUAUAAAUGUCUGUGUACUUGGUAGUUAAAUAAAAUGCAUUUUUUCCUGUGAGUUGUA